rnacentral:lncRNA from 1 species
UUUGUCUGGCUUUGGAAUUAAGGUGAUGCUGGCUUCAUAGAACGAAUUUGGAAGUACUCCAUCUCUUUCUAUCUUUCCAAACAGCUUUAGGAGAAUAGGUAUGAUUUCUUCUUUAAACGUUUGAUAAAAUUCUCCUGGGAAGCCAUCUGGCCCUGGACUCUUGUGUCUUGGGAGGUUUUUGAUGACUGCUUCAAUUUCCUCCCUGGUUAUUGGCCUGUUCAGGUUUUCUAUUUCUUCCUGUUCCAGUUUUGGUAGUUUGUGGCUUUCCAGGAAUGCGUCCAUUUCUUCUAGAUUGCCUAAUUUAUUGGCGUAUAGCUGUUCAUAAUAUGUUUUUAAAAUCGUUUGUAUUUCCUUGGUGUUGGUAGUGAUCUCUCCUUUCUCAUUCAUGAUUUUAUUAAUUUGAGUCUUCUCUCUCUUCUUUUUAAUAAGGCUGGCUAAUGGUUUAUCUAUCUUAUUAAUUCUUUCAAAGAACCAACUCCUGGUUCUGUUGAUCUGUUCCACAGUUCUUCUGGUCUCGAUUUCGUUGAGUUCUGCUCGAAUCUUUAUUAGCUCCCUUCUUCUCUUGGGUGUAGGAUCUAUUUGCUGUUUUUUCUCUAGCUCCUUUAUGUGUAAGGUUAGCUUUUGUAUUUGAGUUCUUUCCAGUUUUUGAAUGGAUGCUUGUAUUGCGAUGUAUUUCCCCCUCAGGACUGCUUUUGCUGCAUCCCAAAGAUUUUGAACGGUUGUAUCUUCAUUCUCAUUAGUUUCCAUGAAUCUUUUUAAUUCUUCCUUAAUUUCCUGGUUGACCCUUUUAUCUUUUAGCAGGAUGGUCCUUAACCUCCAUGUGUUUGAGGUCCUUCCAAACUUCUUGUUGUGAUUUAGUUCUAAUUUCAAGGCAUUAUGGUCCGAGAAUAUGCAGGGGACAAUCCCAAUCUUUUGGUAUCGGUUCAGACCCGAUUUGUGACCCAAUAUGUGGUCUAUUCUGGAGAAAAAGUUCCAUGUGCGCUUGAGAAGAAUGUGUAUUCAGUUGAGUUUGGAUGUAAAGUUCUGUAGAUAUCUGUGAAAUCCAUCUGGUCCAGUGUAUCAUUUAAAGCUCUCGUUUCUUUGGAGAUGUUGUGCUUAGAAGACCUAUCGAGUAUAGAAAGAGCUAGAUUGAAGUCACCAAGUAUAAGUGUAUUAUUAUCUAAGUAUUUCUUCACUUUGGUUAAUAAUUGAUUUAUAUAUUUGGCAGCUCCCACAUUCGGGACAUAUAUAUUGAGGAUUGUUAAGUCCUCUUGUUGAAUAGAUCCUUUAAGUAUGAUAUAGUGUCCCUCUUCAUCUCUCACUACAGUCUUUGGGGUAAAUUUUAGUUUAUCUGAUAUAAGGAUGGCUACCCCUGCUUUCUUUUGAGGACCAUUCGAAUGGUAAAUGGUUCUCCAACCUUUUAUUUUCAGGCUGUAGGUGUCCUUCUGUCUAAAAUGAGUCUCUUGUAGACAGCAAAUAGAUGGGUCCUGCUUUUUUAUCCAGUCUGAAACCCUGCGCCUUUUGAUGGGGUCAUUAAGCCCGUUCACAUUCAGAGUUACUAUUGAGAGAUAUGAGUUUAGUGUCAUCAUGAUAUCUAUUCAGUCUUUGUUUUUGUGGACUGUUCCACUGAACUUCUUCUUAAAGGGGAAUUUUAAGAGUCCCCCUUAAAAUUUCUUGCAGAGCUGGUUUGGAGGUCACAUAUUCUUUUAGUUGCUGCCUGUCUUGGAAGCUCUUUAUCUCUCCUUUCCAUUUUGAAUGAGAGCCUUGCUGGAUAAAGGAUUCUUGGUUGCAUGUUCUUCUCCUUUAGGACCCUGAAUAUAUCCUGCCAGCCCUUUCUGGCCUGCCAGGUCUCUGUGGAGAGGUCUGCUGUUACCCUAAUGCUCCUCCCCAUAAAAGUCAGGGAUUUCUUGUCUCUUGCUGCUUUAAGGAUCUUCUCCUUAUCUUUGGAAUUUGCAAGCUUCACAAUUAAAUGUCGAGGUGUUUGAACGGUUUUUAUUGAUUUUAGGGGGGGAUCUCUCUAUUUCCUGGAUCUGAAUGCCUGUUUCCCUUCCCAGAUUAGGAAAGUUUUUCAGCUAGAAUUUGUUCAAAUACAUAUUCUGGCCCUCUGUCCCUUUCGGCGCCCUCGGGAACCCCAAUUAAACGUAGGUUUUUCUUCCUCAGGCUGUCGUUUAUUUCCCUUAAUCUAUCUUCAUGGUCUUUUAAUUGUUUGUCUCUUUUUUCCUCAGUUUCCCUCUUUGCUAUCAACUUGUCUUCUAUGUCACUCACGCGUUCUUCCACCUCGUUAACC